rnacentral:rRNA from 1 species
GUGGCGAACUGGUGAGUAACGCUUGGGGAACCUGCCCUUGAGUGGGGAACACGUCCGAAAGACGUAAAUUCCGCAUGACGUCUCUGGUCCGCAUGGAUCGGUGACCAAAGGUGCCCUCUGACAUAAGGUGCCGCUCGAGGAUGGCCCCGAGUCCUAUUAGCUAGUUGGUAGGGUAACGGCCUACCAAGGCUCUGAUGGGUAGCUGGCCUGAGAGGGUGGUCAGCCACACUGGGACUGAGAUACGGCCCAGACUCCUACGGGAGGCAGCAGUCGAGAGGCUUCGGCAAUGGGCGAAAGCCCGACCGAGCGACGCCGCGUGGGCGAUGAAGGCCUUCGGGUCGUAAAGCCCUGUCACAGGGGGAGAAACGCACGCAGCUGAAUAGGCUGUGUGCCUGACGUUGCCCCUGGAGAAAGACCCGGCUAACUCCGUGCCAGCAGCCGCGGUAAUACGGAGGGGUCAAGCGUUAUUCGGAUUUACUGGGCGUAAAGGGCGCGUAGGCGGGAUCACGGGUCGGCCGUGAAAUCCACCGGCUCAACCGGUGAACUGCGGUCGAAACUCUGAUUCUUGAGCUUGGUAGAGGAAGGCGGAAUUCCUGGUGUAGCGGUGGAAUGCGUAGAUAUCAGGAAGAACACCGGUAGCGAAGGCGGCCUUCUGGGCCAUGGCUGACGCUGAGGCGCGAAAGCUGGGGGAGCAAACAGGCUUAGAUACCCUGGUAGUCCCA